rnacentral:lncRNA from 1 species
UAUUUUUUAAAAAUUAUUUAUAUUUUCUAAUUUCUAUUUUCAUUGUUUGAUUUUUUUAUUCUUUCAGCUUGAAGCCACGGAAUUUAUCAAAACUCCAGAGGCAAAAUCUUGGGCUGAAUCAGAAUCAAUGACUCCAAUUGUAAGUUCCAUUGAUUAUUUUAAUUAUAUUUUGUUUUUCUUAUUUUUUUUUUUAUAAUACAGCAAUUUAUCGAAGCGACGGUCAACAAGACUUUCGGCAAAAGUAAGAAGAAUCGAAUAAUUGGAAUCGGAGAAGCUGCAAGUAUGGUGAGCACAACAAACGAAAGAUGGGCUGCUCCAAAUUGGAAAGGAAAAGAGCCGAUCUCAGAGAGCACGACUGUUGAAGCACCACCAGAUGCAGUAUGGUCGGAAAAAUUCAAAGCAUUGGAGGUAUUUACAAUAUAUUUUAAUAAUUUUGUUGAUUACCGAACUCAUUGUUGUUUUN